UACAGAGGGUGCGAGCGUUGUCCGGAAUCAUUGGGCGUAAAGAGCGCGUAGGCGGCCCUGUAAGUCCGCUGUGAAAGUCAAGGGCUCAACCCUUGAAUGCCGGUGGAUACUGCAGGGCUAGAGUCCGGAAGAGGCGAGUGGAAUUCCUGGUGUAGCGGUGAAAUGCGCAGAUAUCAGGAGGAACACCGAUGGCGAAGGCAGCUCGGUGGGACGGUACUGACGCUGAGGCGCGAAAGCGUGGGGAGCAAACAGG
rnacentral:rRNA from 1 species